AAAUAACCCCAAAAUGGCCCAAAUGGCCCCAAAUAACCCCCAAAUAACCCCAAAAUUGCCCCAAAUAACCCCAAAAUUGCCCCAAAUGGUCCCAAAUAACCCCACCCCCCCCCCCCCCCCUGAAUAACCCCAAAAUUACCCCCAAAUGACCCCAAAAACAGCCCCAAAUAUUUCGGGUUCAUUUUGGAGCUUUUCUUUGAAAAUUGCACUUCUGUACAAACGGCGCUUUUACCGAUUUUGGGGUUUUUUGCCUUUUUUUUGGGGGGGGGGGGGGGGUUCAAUUUUUGGGGUGGAAAAUAAAGAAAUUGGGACCCAACGCUGCUGUGGUUUUGUGGGGAGAUCCCAUAAUCCGGGAUUAUGGUCCUUAAUCCGGGAUUAGAGAGCCUUAAUCUGGGAUUACAGCCCAUAAUAUGGGAUUAGAGACCCUUAAUAUGGGAUUACAGCCCAUAAUAUGGGAUUAGAGACCCUUAAUCUGGGAUUAGAGACCAUAAUAUGGGAUUAGAGAGCCUUAAUCUGGGAUUAGAGACCAUAAUAUGGGAUUAGGGACCCUUAAUCUGGGAUUACAGCCCAUAAUAUGGGAUUAGGGACCCUUAAUCUGGGAUUGCAGCCCAUAAUAUGGGAUUAGAGACCCUUAAUCUGGGAUUGCAGCCCAUAAUAUGGGAUUAGAGAGCCUUAAUCUGGGAUUGCAGCCCAUAAUAUGGGAUUAGAGAGCCUUAAUCUGGGAUUACAGCCUAUAAUAUGGGAUUAGGAACUCUUAACCUGGGAUUACAGACCAUAAUACGGGAUUAGAGAGCCUUAAUCUGGGAUUACAAUCCAUAAUGUGGGAUUAGAGAGCCUUAAUAUGGGAUUAGGGACCCUUAAUCUGGGAUUGCAGUCCAUAAUAUGGGAUUAAAGGCCCUUAGUACGGGAUUAGAGAGCCUUUAUCUGGGAUUACAGUCUAUAAUGUGGGAUUAGAGAGCCUUAAUAUGGGAUUAGAGGCCCAUAAUAUGGGAUUAGAGUCCCGUAAUCCUAUAUUACAGACCUACUAUGUAAGGAAACCCCAUAAUCUGGCAUUGCAAUCCCCUAAUCCCACAUUGAAGACCAAUAAUAUGGGGAUACACCCCAUAAUACAAGACUACAGUGCCGUAAUUCCUAAUGGGAGUCCCAGAACCCGAGAUUAGAGGCCCAUAAUCUGGGGGAAACCCCAUAAUCUGGGAUUGCGAUCCCCUAAUCCCAUAUUAGAGACCCAUAAUAUGGGAUUAGACCUCCAUAAUCUGGGAUGGGAGUCCCAAAAGAUGGGAUUAGAGGCCUAUAGAUUCAGAUUAGAGGCCCAUAAUCUCAGAUUAGGGAUCCACACUCCGAGGGAUCCCCAUAAUCCGGGAUUCAGUCUCAUAAUCCGGACGUAGUGUUUUAUAAUCCAGAUUUAGUGUGCCAUAAUCCAGGGAAUGCCAUAAUCUGGGGCUGAACCCCGAAAUCCAGGGAUGAAAUGACCAUAAUCCCAUGGGGGGGUCCCCCUAAUCUGCAUUUGGAGUCACAGAAACCAGGAGGACCCCGUAAUCUGGGAAUGGUGCACCCAUAAUCUGGGAUUGGAGCCCCACAGUCCAAAGGGGGGGGCUCGUAAUCCAGGAGGAUCCCAUAAUCCAGCUUUGUAGUGUUCAUAAUCCAGAGUGAGGCCCCAUAAUCCAGGGGCCUCUUCAUAAUCUGGGCUUGGGCUGCCCAUAAUCCGGGUGCAAAUACCCAUAAUCCGGGGGGGGGGGGGAUGCCCUUUAUCGAGAAGAUGGAUGGAUAAUCCAGGAGUAUCCUCAUAAUCCGGGUUGAGAUGCCCAUAAUCUGGGUUGGGGUGUCCAUAAUCCAGGGUGUGACCCCAUAAUCCGGAUUGGGGUGCCCAUAAUCCGGGUUGAGAUGCCCAUAAUCCGGGUUGGAGUGCCCAUAAUCCGGGUUGAGAUGCCCAUAAUCCGGGUUGGAGUGCCCAUAAUCCAGGGUGUGAGCCCAUAAUCUAAGUUGAGAUGCCCAUAAUCCGGGUUGGGGGGCCCAUAAUCCGGGUUGAGAUGCCCAUAAUCCGGGUUGGAGUGCUCAUAAUCCAGGGUGUGACCCCAUAAUCCGGAUUGGGGCGCCCAUAAUCCAGGGUGUGACCCCACAAUCCGGGAUGUGGGCCCAUAAUCCAGAGUGUGAUCCCAUAAUCCAGGUUGAGAUGCCCAUAAUCCAGGGUGUGACGCCAUAAUCCAGGUUGGGGUGCCCAUAAUCUGGGAUGUGGGUGCGUAAUCCAGAGCGUGAUCCCAUAAUCCAGCUUGAAAUGCCCAUAAUCCAGGUUGGAGUGCCCAUAAUCUGAGCUGUGAGCCCAUAAUCCGCGUUGAGGUGCCCAUAAUCCAGAGCAGGGACCCCAUAAUCCAGGAUUAGCUCCCCAUAAUCUGGCUGGAGGCCCCCCUACGGGAGGUGCUCGGCCCUAUGAGAUGACGGAGAGGUAACGGGGAGGGGGGGGGGUCAUCAGUGUGACCCCAUCCCGGGAUUAGGAUAUGUGGGAUUAGGGGAUUAUGGGAUUAUGGGGGGACGGCACUCACUCGGGGGGGGCAUCACAGCGGCUGCCGGAGCGCUCCCGGCCUGGGGGGGGCGUCCCGUGGUAAUCUGGGGGGGGUGAACGGGUCGUAAUCCUAAUCUGAAUCCCAUCAUUCCACUUAAUCCCAUAAUCCCGCCUAAGCACCCGGACUCAAAUAUCCCCAUAAUUCAUCUUAAUCCCACACUUCCAGCCCCAUGUAGCCCUCUAAUCCCAUCUCCCCACAUCCUACAACCCCAUAGCCCUAUAAUCCCACAACCCAACCACCCCAUAAACCCAUAAUCCCACAACCGAUGACCCCAUAAUCCCAUAAUCCCACCUCCCCACACCCCCAUAGUCUGCAUAAUACCACCCCCCACAUCCCAAAAACCCCAUAAUCUCAUAAUCCCACAGCCGAUAACCCCAUAAGCCCAUAAUCCCACCUCCCCACACCCCCGUAACCCGCAUAAUCCCACCCCCCACAUCCCAAACACCCCAUAACCUCAUAAUCCCACACCCCACGAUCCCCCAAAUCCCACCCCCUGCCCCCCGAACACCCCCAUAACCCACACAAUCCCACUCCCAGCAUCCCAAAGACCUCAUAACCCAAUAAUCUCACACGUCCUGCCCCAUAAUCCCGGCCUCCCUGCCCCAUAAUCCCAACUCCCACCCCCUAAUCACUCAUCCCCAUCACAUUAAUCCCCCCCUGCCCCAUAAUCCCGGCCUCCCUGCCCCGUAAUCCCAACUCCCACCCCCUAAUCCCUCAUCCCCAUCCCAUUAAUCCCCCCCUGCCCCAUAAUCCCGGCCUCCCUGCCCCAUAAUCCCA
rnacentral:lncRNA from 1 species